GUGGGGAAUAUUGGACAAUGGGCGAAAGCCUGAUCCAGCCAUGCCGCGUGUGUGAAGAAGGUCUUCGGAUUGUAAAGCACUUUAAGUUGGGAGGAAGGGCAGUAAGCUAAUACCUUGCUGUUUUGACGUUACCGACAGAAUAAGCACCGGCUAACUUCGUGCCAGCAGCCGCGGUAAUACGAAGGGUGCAAGCGUUAAUCGGAAUUACUGGGCGUAAAGCGCGCGUAGGUGGUUUUGUAAGUUGAAGGUGAAAUCCCCGGGCUCAACCUGGGAACUGCCUCCAAAACUGCAUGACUAGAGUACGGUAGAGGGUAGUGGAAUUUCCUGUGUAGCGGUGAAAUGUGUAGAUAUAGGAAGGAACACCAGUGGCGAAGGCGACUACCUGGACUGAUACUGACACUGAGGUGCGAAAGCGUGGGGAGCAAACAGGAUUAGAUACCCUUGUAGUCC
rnacentral:rRNA from 1 species